CUGGCUGUGCCUGGGCUCCGCACGGCUGCUCCUCUCCCCGGUGUCUGUCAGAGCCACUCUGUGGCAGCUGAUGCAGCUUCUGAAACCUCUGAGGCACUGGGGAGGACGGUUCUGUGUGGCGGGGAGCUCUGGGGCCGUCAUCAGAGAGAUGUCAGGGAUGAGGGCACCCACAGCAAGCAGCUCCUCUGGGGGCCGAGCUGAGGCAGGACUUGCCUGAGCCCAAACAGGCACUGCUGGUGAUGACCUGUGAAGUGUUCACAGCACGUCUGGCACAGGGAGUCCUUCACUGGGCUGGAGAGAUCUGCCAGCUGUGUGCAGCAGAGAGAAACUGGAUCCCUCAAGUUCGGAUGAAAGCGUGAGGAGAAGGUUUAUACAGUUAGCCACACUUUGAGGCCACUUAAUCUCUCUUCCACUGAGGAAAAGAGAUAUUUCAAAUACAGACAGUAAAAAAGGACUCCAAAAGUAUAAAUAAAUGUUAUACUGCUCAGGACACUCUUUGUGGAAGAGCUGAGAUAGUGACAGGACAAGAGGGAAUGGCUUUAAGCUGCGUCAAGGGAAGCUGACAUUUGGUCUUGGUGAUCUUAGUGGUCUUUCCAACCCUACUGAUUCUAUGAUUCUGUUCUAUGAUUCUCAACCAUGGUUCUGCUGAAUGUCCCACAGACAGACCCACCGCACUGGAAUGCUGGUCUGCCUCCUGAGGUUUAUUUAGCAGCAGUGCAAUGCCCCAUCCUGGCCCGAAGGGAGAGGAACAGGAGCACAGCAUCAAGAGAGAGGUGUGUGCUGCACCUGGAGCCUUCAUCGCAUUUGCACAGACACUUCUGCACCGAGACUGGGCUGUUGCAUUAGAGUUUGCUUAGGUCAAAGGGAAAUUAGGAUUAUUCCUCAAAUAACAAAUGUUUAAG
ensembl:lncRNA